rnacentral:rRNA from 1 species
GACGAACGCUGGUGGCGUGCUUAACACAUGCAAGUCGAACGGUAAGGCUCCAGCUUGCUGGGGUACACGAGUGGCGAACGGGUGAGUAACACGUGGGUGACCUGCCCUGCACUUCGGGAUAGGCCUGGGAAACUGGGUCUAAUACCGGAUAGGACCGCACCGUGAGGGUGUGGUGGAAAGUUUUUUCGGUGUGGGAUGGGCCCGCGGCCUAUCAGCUUGUUGGUGGGGUAAUGGCCUACCAAGGCGGCGACGGGUAGCCGGCCUGAGAGGGUGGACGGCCACAUUGGGACUGAGACACGGCCCAGACUCCUACGGGAGGCAGCAGUGGGGAAUAUUGCACAAUGGGCGGAAGCCUGAUGCAGCGACGCCGCGUGGGGGAUGACGGCCUUCGGGUUGUAAACUCCUUUCACCAUCGACGAAGGGUUUCUGACGGUAGAUGGAGAAGAAGCACCGGCUAACUACGUGCCAGCAGCCGCGGUAAUACGUAGGGUGCGAGCGUUGUCCGGAAUUACUGGGCGUAAAGAGCUCGUAGGUGGUUUGUCGCGUCGUCUGUGAAAUUCCGGGGCUUAACUCCGGGCGUGCAGGCGAUACGGGCAUAACUUGAGUACUGUAGGGGAGACUGGAAUUCCUGGUGUAGCGGUGAAAUGCGCAGAUAUCAGGAGGAACACCGGUGGCGAAGGCGGGUCUCUGGGCAGUAACUGACGCUGAGGAGCGAAAGCAUGGGGAGCGAACAGGAUUAGAUACCCUGGUAGUCCAUGCCGUAAACGGUGGGCGCUAGGUGUGGGUUUCCUUCCACGGGAUCCGUGCCGUAGCUAACGCAUUAAGCGCCCCGCCUGGGGAGUACGGCCGCAAGGCUAAAACUCAAAGGAAUUGACGGGGGCCCGCACAAGCGGCGGAGCAUGUGGAUUAAUUCGAUGCAACGCGAAGAACCUUACCUGGGCUUGACAUAUACAGGAUCGCGCCAGAGAUGGUGUUUCCCUUGUGGCUUGUAUACAGGUGGUGCAUGGUUGUCGUCAGCUCGUGUCGUGAGAUGUUGGGUUAAGUCCCGCAACGAGCGCAACCCUUGUCUUAUGUUGCCAGCACGUUGUGGUGGGGACUCGUAAGAAACUGCCGGGGUUAACUCGGAGGAAGGUGGGGAUGACGUCAAAUCAUCAUGCCCCUUAUGUCCAGGGCUUCACACAUGCUACAAUGGUCGGUACAGUGGGUUGCCAGUCCGUGAGGGCGAGCUGAUCCCGCAAAGCCGGUCUCAGUUCGGAUCGGGGUCUGCAACUCGACCCUGUGAAGUCGGAGUCGCUAGUAAUCGCAGAUCAGCAACGCUGCGGUGAAUACGUUCCCGGGCCU